rnacentral:rRNA from 1 species
GACGAACGCUGGCGGCGUGCUUAACACAUGCAAGUCGUACGGUAAGGCCCUUUCGGGGGUACACGAGUGGCGAACGGGUGAGUAACACGUGAGUAACCUGCCCACAACUUUGGGAUAACGCUAGGAAACUGGUGCUAAUACUGGAUAUGUGCUCCUGCUGCAUGGUGGGGGUUGGAAAGCUCCGGCGGUUGUGGAUGGACUCGCGGCCUAUCAGCUUGUUGGUGGGGUAGUGGCCUACCAAGGCGGCGACGGGUAGCCGGCCUGAGAGGGGGACCGGCCAAAUUGGGAUGGGGAUACGGCCCGGACCCCACCGGGAGGCAGCAGUGGGGAAUAUUGAACAAGGGGCGCAAGCCUGAUGCAGCAACGCCGCGUGCGGGAUGACGGCCUUCGGGUUGUAACCGCUUUCAGCAGGGACGAAGCUUUUUGUGACGGUACCUGCAGAAGAAGCACCGGCUAACUACGUG